GUCUACGGCUAUGGCACCCCGAAUAAGCCCGAUCCCGUCUGAUCUCGGAAGCUAAGCAGCGUCGGGCCUGGUUAGUACUUGGAUGGGAGACCACCUCAGAAGACCAGGUGCUGUAGGCG
rnacentral:rRNA from 1 species